AUUGAACGCUGGCGGCAGGCUUAACACAUGCAAGUCGAGCGGAGAUGAGGUGCUUGCACCUUAUCUUAGCGGCGGACGGGUGAGUAAUGCUUAGGAAUCUGCCUAUUAGUGGGGGACAACAUUCCGAAAGGAAUGCUAAUACCGCAUACGUCCUACGGGAGAAAGCAGGGGAUCUUCGGACCUUGCGCUAAUAGAUGAGCCUAAGUCGGAUUAGCUAGUUGGUGGGGUAAAGGCCUACCAAGGCGACGAUCUGUAGCGGGUCUGAGAGGAUGAUCCGCCACACUGGGACUGAGACACGGCCCAGACUCCUACGGGAGGCAGCGGUGGGGAAUAUUGGACAAUGGGGGGAACCCUGAUCCAGCCAUGCCGCGUGUGAGAAGAAGGCCUUAUGGUUGUAAAGCACUUUAAGCGAGGAGGAGGCUACUGAGACUAAUACUCUUGGAUAGUGGACGUUACUCGCAGAAUAAGCACCGGCUAACUCUGUGCCAGCAGCCGCCGUAAUAC
rnacentral:rRNA from 1 species